AAGAAUACAUUUUUCCAGUGUCGAACCAAGAUCAAUAGAGAAAAACAAAUAAUUUCAAGUGGGAGUUGUCAUAAUGAUACCCAGACUGCAAGCCAGUUAUGUGCAAAAGCAGUCAGGCACUGGGGACGUAAAGAUGACAGCCCUUCAGGAACCUGGGUCUGGUGUUGUACCAGGGGGAGAAAGUCCAAGUUUGGUACAGUGGCUCCACCAGGAUCUGGCCUUCUUCCUCCUGUUCUACCAUCUU